rnacentral:rRNA from 1 species
AAAUUGAAGAGUUUGAUCAUGGCUCAGAUUGAACGCUGGCGGCAGGCCUAACACAUGCAAGUCGAACGGUAACAGGAAGCAGCUUGCUGCUUUGCUGACGAGUGGCGGACGGGUGAGUAAUGUCUGGGAAACUGCCUGAUGGAGGGGGGAUAACUACUGGAAACGGUGGCUAAUACCGCAUAACGUCGCAAGACCAAAGAGGGGGACCUUCGGGCCUCUUGCCAUCAGAUGUGCCCAGAUGGGAUUAGCUUGUUGGUGAGGUAACGGCUCACCAAGGCGACGAUCCCUAGCUGGUCUGAGAGGAUGACCAGCCACACUGGAACUGAGACACGGUCCAGACUCCUACGGGAGGCAGCAGUGGGGAAUAUUGCACAAUGGGCGCAAGCCUGAUGCAGCCAUGCCGCGUGUAUGAAGAAGGCCUUCGGGUUGUAAAGUACUUUCAGCGGGGAGGAAGGUGUUG